rnacentral:rRNA from 1 species
UACAGAGGUGGCAAGCGUUGUUCGGAAUUACUGGGCGUAAAGGGCGCGUAGGCGGCCACCGCAAGUCGGUUGUGAAAUCUCCGGGCUUAACCCGGAAAGGUCAAUCGAUACUGCGGGCUAGAGUGCAGAAGGGGCAACUGGAAUUCUCGGUGUAGCGGUGAAAUGCGUAGAUAUCGAGAGGAACACCUGCGGCGAAGGCGGGUUGCUGGGCUGACACUGACGCUG